rnacentral:lncRNA from 1 species
CUCCGUGGUGUCUGCUGUGAGAUGUGACCAGGAAUAAGCAAAGCAGGCUCCUACUUAGAAAUAAAGAAAACUUUAUUAACUAAACUGCAAGAAAAUAACUAAACUACAAGGAAAGAAAAAACACAUACAAGGAAAAUGAAAACCUUACAAAAGCAUUUUCCUCCUCCCCCCACCAAAUUUCUCAAUGCAAUACAUUCUCUUGAAAUCACCAACUCUCAGCCCGGCACCACCCUUUAGAAUACUCAAUCUUCAGUUCAUCAAGAGGACAGGAGUCUUUCUUGUACCAUAGGCUUCCCCUAGAAACACUGUUGAAACUUUGUGUGUUUCUAUGUCACUCAUAGCACCGCCCCGAAAUCUUUUGCUAUCAUGACAUCUUCCUUCCAUGCCCAGUGCUCUCACCACUGUGCAUGGACCAGAGCUGCUUCUAGGGUUGUCUUUCAAGGAUGCCUUGUCUGACUCCAAAAAAAGCACAGUCUCUCCUUUGGGACAUCUGUCCCCCCCAAAUUUUUCUACCUCCUGGGGCCAAGGGGUACCCACACUGAACCCUCCUGGUUCUGAGGCACUGCCUCCCUCUAAAUGCAGUCUCUGUGUCACAGGAAAAAAAUUGGUUCUGUCUAUGGCUACACAAGAAAAGUCCAGCCAAAAGGCCACUCCAUCAUCUCCCCCCCCACUCAAGAGUCUUCUGCACUUCCCUCGUGGCCCAUCCCUUCUUAUCUCACCUCUUAUCUGUCUUCUCAUUCAGCUCCAGGAGGAUCAGCAUUUGCAAGGUUUCUAUCAUGCAAGAAAAGGGUUAAAAAUUUCAGUCUCUGCUUGUCUCAGAACUCCGGAACUCCCACGCUGCCCUGCCGGGCACCUUCUCGCUGCACCCCCGCCUUCUCCUGGGCCGGCCGCUAUCAAAUUCAGACGCCGGCUCUCCCCCUCUUUCUCUUCUCUGGGGGGGGGGGUGGCUGCCCGAUGCCUCCUGGGGCUCCUCCACCCUUCCAUCCUCAAGGGCCUCCUCACCCCCCAUCGCUGUCCAGGCCCAGGCCUACCGCAUGGCUGCCCCUCCCCUGCCCAGCAGCAGCAGCUGGACGGGGGAGGGCGAUCUGACCUCUUUCCCUUGAAGUCCCAAGAGAGCUCCCAGAGGAGCAGCUCUGCUUUUAACCCCUGUGUGUUAUCAGAGGUGUGUCCGAACUUCAGUGGCUACACCAGGUGCCAAUAUUAAAAUCUGAACACCUAUUGGUCACCACAGCAU